UGGGGAAUAUUGCACAAUGGGGGGAACCCUGAUGCAGCAACGCCGCGUGAGUGAAGAAGUAAUUCGUUACGUAAAGCUCUAUCAGCAGGGAAGAAAAAAAGUCCUUACGGACUUAGGACGGUACCUGAAUAAGAAGCCCCGGCUAACUACGUGCCAGCAGCCGCGGUAAUACGUAGGGGGCAAGCGUUAUCCGGAUUUACUGGGUGUAAAGGGAGCGUAGACGGCGGAGCAAGUCUGAAGUGAAAUGCUAGGGCUUAACCCUAGAACUGCUUUGGAAACUGCAUAGCUAGAGUGCAGGAGAGGUAAGCGGAAUUCCUAGUGUAGCGGUGAAAUGCGUAGAUAUUAGGAGGAACACCGGUGGCGAAGGCGGCUUACUGGACUGUAACUGACGUUGAGGCUCGAAAGCGUGGGGAGCAAACAGG
rnacentral:rRNA from 1 species